rnacentral:rRNA from 1 species
AUUGAACGCUGGCGGCAGGCCUAACACAUGCAAGUCGAGCGGGGUUUUCGGACCUAGCGGCGGACGGGUGAGUAAUGCGUAGGAAGCUGCCCGAUAGAGGGGGAUACCAGUUGGAAACGACUGUUAAUACCGCAUAAUGUCUACGGACCAAAGUGUGGGACCUUCGGGCCACAUGCUAUCGGAUGCGCCUACGUGGGAUUAGCUAGUUGGUGAGGUAAUGGCUCACCAAGGCGACGAUCUCUAGCUGGUUUGAGAGGAUGAUCAGCCACACUGGAACUGAGACACGGUCCAGACUCCUACGGGAGGCAGCAGUGGGGAAUAUUGGACAAUGGGCGCAAGCCUGAUCCAGCCAUGCCGCGUGUGUGAAGAAGGCCUUCGGGUUGUAAAGCACUUUCAGUAGGGAGGAAGGGUGUUGUGUUAAUAGCACAGCAUUUUGACGUUACCUACAGAAGAAGCACCGGCUAACUCUGUGCCAGCCGCCGCAGUAAAAC